rnacentral:rRNA from 1 species
AUUGAACGCUGGCGGCAUGCUUUACACAUGCCAGUCGAACGGCAGCGCGGGCUUCGGCCUGGCGGCGAGUGGCGAACGGGUGAGUAAUACAUCGGAACGUGCCCAGUAGUGGGGGAUAGCUCGGCGAAAGCCGGAUUAAUACCGCAUACGACCUGAGGGUGAAAGCGGGGGAUCCUCGGACCUCGCGCUAUUGGAGCGGCCGAUGGCAGAUUAGCUAGUUGGUGGGGUAAAGGCCUACCAAGGCGACGAUCUGUAGCUGGUCUGAGAGGACGACCAGCCACACUGGGACUGAGACACGGCCCAGACUCCUACGGGAGGCAGCAGUGGGGAAUUUUGGACAAUGGGCGAAAGCCUGAUCCAGCAAUGCCGCGUGUGUGAUGAAGGCCUUCGGGUUGUAAAGCACUUUUGGCGGGAACGAAAAGGACUGUGCCAAUACCACGGUUCGAUGACGGUACCCGCAGAAUAAGCACCGGCUAACUACGUG